rnacentral:rRNA from 1 species
ACUGGGACUGAGACACGGCCCAGACUCCUACGGGAGGCAGCAGUGGGGAAUUUUCCGCAACGGGCGAAAGCCUGACGGAGCAAUACCGCGUGAGGGAGGAAGGCCUUUGGGUUGUAAACCUCUUUUCUUAAGGAAGAAGAUCUGACGGUACUUAAGGAAUCAGCAUCGGCUAACUCCGUGCCAGCAGCCGCGGUAAUACGGAGGAUGCAAGCGUUAUCCGGAAUUAUUGGGCGUAAAGCGUCCGCAGGCGGCACUAUAAGUCUGCUGUCAAAGACCGCAGCUCAACUGCGGAAAGGCAGUGGAAACUGUAGAGCUAGAGUACGGUAGGGGUAGAGGGAAUUCCCAGUGUAGCGGUGAAAUGCGUAGAGAUUGGGAAGAACACCAGUGGCGAAAGCGCUCUACUGGGCCGUAACUGACGCUCAGGGACGAAAGCUAGGGGAGCGAAAGGGAUUAGAUACCCCUGUAGUCCUAGCUGUAAACGAUGGAUACUAGGCGUAGCUUGUAUCGACCCGAGCUGUGCCGAAGCUAACGCGUUAAGUAUCCCGCCUGGGGAGUACGCACGCAAGUGUGAAACUCAGAGGAAUUGACGGGGGCCCGCACAAGCGGUGGAGUAUGUGGUUUAAUUCGAU